GGGGGUGUAGCUCAAAGGCAGAGUGCUUUCCUAGCAUGUAAGAGGUGAGCGCCUGGGUUCAAUCCCCAGAGUAGCCA
rnacentral:tRNA from 1 species